UACGAAGGGGGCUAGCGUUACUCGGAUUGACUGGGCGUAAAGGGCGCGUAGGCGGUUUGUACAGUCAGACGUGAAAUUCCUGGGCUCAACCUGGGGGCUGCGUUUGAUACGUGCGGACUUGAGUUCGGAAGAGGGUCGUGGAAUUCCCAGUGUAGAGGUGAAAUUCGUAGAUAUUGGGAAGAACACCGGUGGCGAAGGCGGCGACCUGGUCCGGUACUGACGCUGAGGUGCGAAAGCGUGGGGAGCAAACAGG
rnacentral:rRNA from 1 species